CUACUAAGUGCUGAGUGAUUGCAAUGGCGGACGUGUCUGAGAGGACGCUGCACGUGUCCGUGCUGGUGGCUUUCGCCUCUGGGGUGGUCCUGGGCUGGCAAGCGAAUCGCCUGCGGAGGCGUUACCUGGACUGGAGGAAGCGGAGGUUGCAGGAUAAGCUGGCGACGACUCAGAAAAAGCUGGACCUGGCCUGAGCACGCGCUGCGGCCCGAGCCCGCCGGGUUCUCACUCCCCAAGCCCAACGCAGCCCAGAUCGUGGAAGCGGCGCGAUCACUUGCCCGGGAGUCCGGGGUCGUCUUUGCUCGACUUGCAAGAACGUGGCUUGCUUCCAGAUCUCAGAAAGAAAAUAGUUUUGUCUUCUCUAACAAAUUACUCUCAGCUUGUCGAAGAUGGAUAUAAAGCACUGGAAAGAAAUCAUUUCUUGCACUUUAUGAAGCUAUUUUUAAAAUAAAAAAAUUAAACGUCUUUGAAUCUUUUUCCUCCUCACAAAGGAAAGCAAUGUUUGGCCUACCAUUCAGUUUGCUGCAGUAAGAAAUCUGGAGCCUGUAAUCAGAGACUUUCUGAUGGAAUGUCACAUCCUUGGUACAGCCUGGAGACAGAUCUGGUCAAGGGACCACUAUGAGUCAUUUUUCUAGACAUAUUCAGAAAAACUAGGAGCUGUGUCAAAUGCCUGAAUUAAGCAUUACAAAUGCAAGAUAUUUGCACUUUGAAGACUAUAGAAAGUAAAAAAAAAAAACAAAAAAACAAAAAAAAAGUGAUAUAAUGGAAUAUACACGUGAAAGAAAAACUGUUGAGUAAGCUUAAAGAUAAAGCCAGUCAUAUCAAGUGA